UGAUAUCAUUGGGAUA
rnacentral:snoRNA from 1 species